rnacentral:rRNA from 1 species
AUUGAACGCUGGCGGCAUGCCUUACACAUGCAAGUCGAACGGCAGCACGGGAGCAAUCCUGGUGGCGAGUGGCGAACGGGUGAGUAAUAUAUCGGAACGUGCCCGGUCGUGGGGAUAACGUAGCGAAAGCUACGCUAAUACCGCAUACGAUCUACGGAUGAAAGCGGGGGGAUCGCAAGACCUCGCGCGAUUGGAGCGGCCGAUAUCAGAUUAGGUAGUUGGUGAGGUAAAGGCUCACCAAGCCGACGAUCUGUAGCUGGUCUGAGAGGACGACCAGCCACACUGGGACUGAGACACGGCCCAGACUCCUACGGGAGGCAGCAGUGGGAAUUUUGGACAAUGGGCGCAAGCCUGAUCCAGCAAUGCCGCGUGCAGGAUGAA